GACCGGAAGGCAGCAGCACUAGCAGCGUCGCGUUGUGCAU
rnacentral:SRP_RNA from 14 species